rnacentral:rRNA from 1 species
UAUACAUGCAGUCGAGCGAAUGAAGAGGAGCUUGCUCCUCUGAUUUAGCGGCGGACGGGUGAGUAACACGUGGGUAAUCUGCCUGUAAGACGGGGAUAACUCCGGGAAACCGGGGCUAAUACCGGAUAAUAAGAAGAAACGCAUGUUUCUUUUUUGAAAGUCGGUUUCGGCUGACACUUACAGAUGAGCCCGCGGCGCAUUAGCUAGUUGGUGAGGUAACGGCUCACCAAGGCGACGAUGCGUAGCCGACCUGAGAGGGUGAUCGGCCACACUGGGACUGAGACACGGCCCAGACUCCUACGGGAGGCAGCAGUAGGGAAUCUUCGGCAAUGGGCGAAAGCCUGACCGAGCAACGCCGCGUGAGCGAUGAAGGCCUUCGGGUCGUAAAGCUCUGUUGUUAGAGAAGAACAAGUACGAGAGUAACUGCUCGUACCUUGACGGUACCUAACCAGAAAGCCACGGCUAACUACGUGCCAGCAGCCGCGGUAAUACGUAGGUGGCAAGCGUUAUCCGGAAUUAUUGGGCGUAAAGCGCGCGCAGGCGGUCUCUUAAGUCUGAUGUGAAAGCCCACGGCUCAACCGUGGAGGGUCAUUGGAAACUGGGAGACUUGAGUGCAGGA